GUGAGGAAUAUUGGUCAAUGGGCGGGAGCCUGAACCAGCCAAGUCGCGUGAAGGAAGAAGGAUCUAUGGUUCGUAAACUUCUUUUGCAGGGGAAUAAAGUGCAGGACGUGUCCUGUUUUGUAUGUACCCUGAGAAUAAGGAUCGGCUAACUCCGUGCCAGCAGCCGCGGUAAUACGGAGGAUCCGAGCGUUAUCCGGAUUUAUUGGGUUUAAAGGGUGCGUAGGUGGUUUGAUAAGUCAGCGGUGAAAGUUUGCAGCUUAACUGUAAAAAUGCCGUUGAAACUGUCGGACUUGAGUGUAAAUGAGGUAGGCGGAAUGCGUGGUGUAGCGAUGAAAUGCAUAGAUAUCACGCAGAACUCCGAUUGCGAAGGCAGCUUACUAAGCUACAACUGACACUGAAGCACGAAAGCGUGGGGAUCAAACAGGAUUAGAUACCCCAGUAGUCC
rnacentral:rRNA from 1 species